rnacentral:rRNA from 1 species
UGGGGAAUAUUGCACAAUGGGCGCAAGCCUGAUGCAGCCAUGCCGCGUGUGUGAAGAAGGCCUUCGGGUUGUAAAGCACUUUCAGCGAGGAGGAAGGUGGUGAGCUUAAUACGCUCAUCAAUUGACGUUACUCGCAGAAGAAGCACCGGCUAACUCCGUGCCAGCAGCCGCGGUAAUACGGAGGGUGCAAGCGUUAAUCGGAAUUACUGGGCGUAAAGCGCACGCAGGCGGUUUGUUAAGUCAGAUGUGAAAUCCCCGGGCUCAACCUGGGAACUGCAUUUGAAACUGGCAAGCUAGAGUCUCGUAGAGGGGGGUAGAAUUCCAGGUGUAGCGGUGAAAUGCGUAGAGAUCUGGAGGAAUACCGGUGGCGAAGGCGGCCCCCUGGACGAAGACUGACGCUCAGGUGCGAAAGCGUGGGGCAGCAAACAGGAUUAGAUACCCUGGUAGUCCACGCUGUAAAACGAUGUCGAUUUUGGAGGUUGUGCCCUUGAGGCGUGGCUUCCGGAGCUAACGCGUUAAAUCGACCGCCUGGGGAGUACGG